rnacentral:lncRNA from 1 species
AUAUGUUUUAAGUUACCUCUGCACUCCUACAAUGGCCAAACGAAAACGUUUGUUUAAGAAUGUUUUUUUGCCAACGAUUUGACAACGCCACGUGGCGUGUGUCUGUUGGUUGGUUUUUAAGAAGGAAAAUUAACUCUGAUAUUAAAACUCGAGGGUAUUUUUGGAAAGCUGAAGAUAUGAAAUUUGGUUUUCGCGCUUUCAGUUUUCACCCUUGGUUUGCUUUCGCGUCUUCCUAUCUCCCAAACACUUUAUGCCCUUGCUCGUCUCGCUUGGUUACCUCUCUCCCAAACACUAUGCCCUUUCUCUUCAUUGACAAUGGUGUCGCUUCUUUUGGUAAGUAAUAAACCCUCGUCUCGGUUGUUCUGUUAAUUGGUUACCUCUAUUUCUCGUUGUGCCCUUUCUCUUCAUUGACGUCGUUUUCGCUUAUUUUGGUAAGUUCAAGCUUGCGAACCCUACCAUAGUUUUGGAGCAUUUUUUGUUUUUGUGUUCUGUGAACCCUAACCGUCUUUUCCACCAUCAUUUUUGGUAGUGUAUUUUAUCAUAUAAGUGCAAGUGUUGGUAGUGUAUUUUAUAUCCUCAGAUUGUGAUGCGGUCCACUCCGGCGAGGAACCGUCGAUCUGGCACAGAUCGAGCUGAUGACUGGACAAAAGAUGUAGCGAAAGAUGAAAAACAGAGGCAAACCCUAGGUUUGUGGUCUGAUCGGUGAAAAGGCUAGGGUUGGGAGUUUUAAUCGGUGUAAUGAGAGGAUUCACCGAUGGAAUCGGUGACAGGAAAGAGUCUGAGGCUUUAAUCGGUAGAAAUGGUUAAAAACCAGUUUCAAUCGGUGAGAAUGGAGGUAAAAGCCAAAAAUGAUCGGUAAAAGGGAAGGAUAGGUUAUGAGAAGACGAAUCUGAGAAAUGGUUUGGUGGACGAAGACUUACAAUGGCUAGAUUUGAGCGGAGAAAGUGGUUGGUGGCUGGAGACGGUCUCUAGAGCGAGACGCUAAUGAAAGCAAAUGAAGAAAUGGCGUUGUGUGGAGUUGAUGGAACGCUUAAGAGGUUAUGUGGCUGGUGUGGCAAUGAGAAGCCACGAGUCAGCAAGUGAUUGGACGAGUGGCGUACGGUGGUAUUAGGUGGAAAGAGAGAAAUCUGAUGUGGAAAAUGAAGUAGAAUGGCAAGUGAUUGGAAGGUGGCUGAGGAAUCCCUUGGAUUCUUCAGCCUUGACUUUCAAGGAAUUAAGUCUGGAGUAUACUCAACAGAAAAUUAAUUCAUUAUCUCAAAAGUGAUUACAAGAUGUGUUAGCAUGCCUAUAUAUAGGUCUAAAAGUACCACAUGCUUAACACAUUGUACACAUGUCUAAUACAAGUAUCUAAUACAAGUAAAAGAAAUAUUAAACUAAGAAAAUUGGGCUUGGGCCC